GUGUUGAUUCAUAGAGAUCUUUGAUCGAAUUCAGGUCCUCUUCCUGUGCUUCUUGGUGCAAUUCAGCACUAUUUUCAAUGAUUCUUCUAACAAUUACACUCACUGUAUCUUAUAGAACUUGAAGUGCUGCGAGUUUUGAAAUGGAACAUUAUUCUAUAUACCUCUAAGAAGGUUCAACAAAACAAGUUAAGGUGGGGAAUUAUCAAGACUCCUCCAGCAAAGCCAGCCAACCAAUGAAAGGGCUGGUAAGAAAUGAACCCAACACAUAGAAAUGGACAUCAAUAAAAUCUUCCAGUGAUGGCCUGAUGGAAGGAGAAAUAGAAGAGUCUUCCAGCAACUGGAACCAGGAGAUGAUCAUGUGGCAGUCUUUGAUGCUUCUCUACUGCCAUCAGAGCUUCCUUUCCUGUUUUUACCCAAGACUGAGUGAGUGAAUGAAUGAAGUAGUAUGAAUCAUCCUUCCAAAAGACUGAACUUGGAUCUGUUGCCAAGAAGACCAGAUUCUAUGACGUGUUUUUAACCUCGUGAUCACAGAAGCCCUUCUCCAAGGAGUGGGGAGAGACAAAGAUGGUGUCUUCAUGGAAGGAUGUCCAGAGUGCAUCCUGGCCUUGAGGACAUGAGACACACGACUUCCACAGCAGUAUUGAUCCCAUCCUAUCAUUUUCCACAGUCUGAGGGACUCAUGCCUCAUGUGGCUUGAGGCUAUAUAAACAGUAGCAUGAUCUAGGAAUCACUUCUUCCCAUGCAGAUUUUGGAUUUUUUUCCUGUAGUCCUGGGGAUUGAAACCAAGGUCUCACACUGAACUUUUU
rnacentral:lncRNA from 1 species